ACUGCUCAGUAACACGUGGAUAACCUGCCCUAAGGAAGGGGAUAACCUCGGGAAACUGAGGAUAAUACCCUAUAGGUUACAGACGCUGGAAUGCCCUGUAACCGAAAGUUCCGGCGCCUUAGGAUGGUUCUGCGGCCGAUUAGGUUGUUGUUGGGGUAACGGCCCAACAAGCCGAUAAUCGGUACGGGUUGUGGGAGCAAGAGCCCGGAGUUGGAUUCUGAGACAUGAAUCCAGGCCCUACGGGGCGCAGCAGGCGCGAAAACUUUACAAUGCGGGAAACCGUGAUAAGGGAACCCCGAGUGCCUGUAUAUGCAGGCUGUCCAGGUGUCUAAAAAACACCUGAAGAAAGGGCCGGGCAAGACCGGUGCCAGCCGCCGCGGUAAUACCGGCGGCUCGAGUGGUGGCCACUUUUAUUGGGCUUAAAGCGUUCGUAGCUGGGUUGUUAAGUCUCUUGGGAAAUCUGACGGCUCAACCGUCAGGCGUCCAAGGGAUACUGGCAAUCUUGGAACCGGGAGAGGUGAGGGGUACUUCGGGGGUAGGAGUGAAAUCCUGUAAUCCUCGAGGGACCACCUGUGGCGAAGGCGCCUCACCAGAACGGCUUCGACAGUGAGGGACGAAAGCUGGGGGAGCAAACCGGAUUAGAUACCCGGGUAGUCCCAGCCGUAAACGAUGCGCGUUAGGUGUAUCGGUGACCACGAGUCACCGAGGUGCCGAAGGGAAACCGUGAAACGUGCCGCCUGGGAAGUACGGUCGCAAGGCUGAAACUUAAAGGAAUUGGCGGGGGAGCAC
rnacentral:rRNA from 1 species